GUGGAUUAGAUACCCCGGUAGUCCACGCCGUAAACGAUGGGCACUAGGUGUCGCGGGUAUUGACCCCUGCGGUGCCGUAGCUAACGCAUUAAGUGCCCCGCCUGGGGAGUACGGCCGCAAGGCUAAAACUCAAAGGAAUUGACGGGGGCCCGCACAAGCGGUGGAGCAUGUGGUUUAAUUCGACGCAACGCGAAGAACCUUACCUGGGUUUGACAUCCCGAUCGUACCUUAUGGAAACAUAGGGGUCAGUUCGGCUGGAUCGGUGACAGGUGCUGCACGGCCGUCGCCAACU
rnacentral:rRNA from 1 species